rnacentral:rRNA from 1 species
GACGAACGCUGGCGGCGUGCUUAACACAUGCAAGUCGAACGGAAAGGCCCUGCUUUUGUGGGGUGCUCGAGUGGCGAACGGGUGAGUAACACGUGAGUAACCUGCCCUUGACUUUGGGAUAACUUCAGGAAACUGGGGCUAAUACCGGAUAGGAGCUCCUGCUGCAUGGUGGGGGUUGGAAAGUUUCGGCGGUUGGGGAUGGACUCGCGGCUUAUCAGCUUGUUGGUGGGGUAGUGGCUUACCAAGGCUUUGACGGGUAGCCGGCCUGAGAGGGUGACCGGCCACAUUGGGACUGAGAGACGGCCCAGACUCCUACGGGAGGCAGCAGUGGGGAAUAUUGCACAAUGGGCGGAAGCCUGAUGCAGCAACGCCGCGUGCGGGAUGACGGACUUCGGGUUGUAAACCGCUUUCGCCUGUGACGAAGCGUGAGUGACGGUAAUGGGUAAAGAAGCACCGGCUAACUACGUG